ensembl:ncRNA lncRNA:CR43432 long non-coding RNA:CR43432
GAGUCAGUGCUCAAUGUAAACCGUUAACGAUCACAUCGCCUCAUCUCGUGAAACACCCACCCACUCUCUCCCAAAAAAAUUAAAUGGGAUGAGGGGGUGGCGCUCGAGGUGGUUUUUGCAGCUUUAAACGCGCUCCAAGCGCACCCUCUACUGGAAGAACGAGAAUGGCAUGGACAAGGACAUGGCAAUCAUGGAGAUGGAGGACCAAACAGGACCGGGCUGGAGGAAAGUGCAAUGGUGACUUGGCGGGACACAAGAACUCGAACUGAAGACUCCGAUUCGAGUGCGUUUUCCCCAAGGUCAACACCCCCACAACGUCAUGUGCAAUAUAUUAGCUAAUUUGUUGUUAACUAAUAUUGUUAUUAAUCCAUUUGUUGUUGGUUUCACGUUCCUGGAACGUUUACUGUGAUUGUUAACCCCUUCAAAGUUGAGAUUUAGUUGUUAAGCCACUGUUAUGUUUGAAUCAUCAGAUAUUGUUAUUGAUAAGAAAAGCAACAUCAUCGCGUAUGUCUUCCAAUACCGUUAAGUGCAAUCUAGCUUGUAAGAAAAUUAGUUUUUCCUUUGUUGAAAUAAAUCAGCUCUUCAUGGGAAGACUAACAAAAAAUCCAGCUUGUGUUCUUGAUUAGCCAAUUUUUAAAAUGCUAUCCAAAAUCUAGGAUGGAUGUUUAUCUUCAAGGUAAUUCAAAAACAAAUAAGUUUGAUUUACAUAUCAGUAUGAUUAAAACGAGAUAAAGGACCUCCAAAGCCUGCAUUGAAAUAAUCAAAUCAAUUGGUCGUUUCCAUUUUGAAGUAUUAUUUAACUUAUUUUAAUUUAACUUAUUUCGGUUUUAUAAGCCAUAUAUGUAUAAUCUAAUUUAAAUUGAAAAUAAUGUUCGCAAGUGUCAUUAUAAUGGCAAUAUAAGUGCUUGAAUGAU